GGAAGUAGCUCAGCUGGGAGAGCGCCUGCUUUGCACGCAGGAGGUCAGCGGUUCGAUCCCGCUAGUCUCCACCA
rnacentral:tRNA from 1 species